rnacentral:rRNA from 1 species
GUAGGUGGCAAGCGUUAUCCGGGAAUUAUUGGGCGUAAAGCGCGCGCAGGCGGUUUCUUAAGGUCUGAUGUGAAAGCCCACGGGCUCAACCGUGGAGGGUCAUUGGAAACUGGGGAACUUGAGUGCAGAAGAGAAAAGCGGAAUUCCACGUGUAGCGGUGAAAUGCGUAGAGAUGUGGAGGAACACCAGUGGCGAAGGCGGCUUUUUGGUCUGUAACUGACGCUGAGGCGCGAAAGCGUGGGGAGCAAACAGGAUUAGAUACCCUGGUAGUCCACGCCGUAAACGAUGAGUGCUAAGUGUUAGAGGGUUUCCGCCCUUUAGUGCUGCAGCUAACGCAUUAAGCACUCCGCCUGGGGAGUACGGUCGCAAAGACUG